rnacentral:siRNA from 1 species
AUACAUACCACAUAACAUUUUUGG